GUUAUAUGGUCAAGUGAAGAAGCGCAUACGGUGGAUGCCUUGGCAGUCAGAGGCGAUGAAAGACGUGGUAGCCUGCGAAAAGCUUCGGGGAGUCGGCAAACAGACUUUGAUCCGGAGAUCUCUGAAUGGGGGAACCCACCUAGGAUAACCUAGGUAUCUUGUACUGAAUCCAUAGGUGCAAGAGGCGAACCAGGGGAACUGAAACAUCUAAGUACCCUGAGGAAAAGAAAUCAACCGAGAUUCCCUUAGUAGUGGCGAGCGAACGGGGAUUAGCCCUUAAGCUUCAUUGAUUUUAGCGGAACGCUCUGGAAAGUGCGGCCAUAGUGGGUGAUAGCCCCGUACGCGAAAGGAUCUUUGAAGUGAAAUCGAGUAGGACGGAGCACGAGAAACUUUGUCUGAAUAUGGGGGGACCAUCCUCCAAGGCUAAAUACUCCUGACUGACCGAUAGUGAACCAGUACCGUGAGGGAAAGGCGAAAAGAACCCCGGCGAGGGGAGUGAAAAAGAACCUGAAACCGUGUACGUACAAGCAGUGGGAGCACGCUUAGGCGUGUGACUGCGUACCUUUUGUAUAAUGGGUCAGCGACUUAUAUUCUGUAGCAAGGUUAACCGAAUAGGGGAGCCGAAGGGAAACCGAGUCUUAACUGGGCGUUAAGUUGCAGGGUAUAGACCCGAAACCCGGUGAUCUAGCCAUGGGCAGGUUGAAGGUUGGGUAACACUAACUGGAGGACCGAACCGACUAAUGUUGAAAAAUUAGCGGAUGACUUGUGGCUGGGGGUGAAAGGCCAAUCAAACCGGGAGAUAGCUGGUUCUCCCCGAAAGCUAUUUAGGUAGCGCCUCGUGAAUUCAUCUCCGGGGGUAGAGCACUGUUUCGGCAAGGGGGUCAUCCCGACUUACCAACCCGAUGCAAACUGCGAAUACCGGAGAAUGUUAUCACGGGAGACACACGGCGGGUGCUAACGUCCGUCGUGAAGAGGGAAACAACCCAGACCGCCAGCUAAGGUCCCAAAGUCAUGGUUAAGUGGGAAACGAUGUGGGAAGGCCCAGACAGCCAGGAUGUUGGCUUAGAAGCAGCCAUCAUUUAAAGAAAGCGUAAUAGCUCACUGGUCGAGUCGGCCUGCGCGGAAGAUGUAACGGGGCUAAACCAUGCACCGAAGCUGCGGCAGCGACGCUUAUGCGUUGUUGGGUAGGGGAGCGUUCUGUAAGCCUGCGAAGGUGUGCUGUGAGGCAUGCUGGAGGUAUCAGAAGUGCGAAUGCUGACAUAAGUAACGAUAAAGCGGGUGAAAAGCCCGCUCGCCGGAAGACCAAGGGUUCCUGUCCAACGUUAAUCGGGGCAGGGUGAGUCGACCCCUAAGGCGAGGCCGAAAGGCGUAGUCGAUGGGAAACAGGUUAAUAUUCCUGUACUUGGUGUUACUGCGAAGGGGGGACGGAGAAGGCUAGGCCAGCUUGGCGUUGGUUGUCCAAGUUUAAGGUGGUAGGCUGAAAUCUUAGGUAAAUCCGGGGUUUCAAGGCCGAGAGCUGAUGACGAGUCGUCUUUUAGAUGACGAAGUGGUUGAUGCCAUGCUUCCAAGAAAAGCUUCUAAGCUUCAGGUAACCAGGAACCGUACCCCAAACCGACACAGGUGGUCGGGUAGAGAAUACCAAGGCGCUUGAGAGAACUCGGGUGAAGGAACUAGGCAAAAUGGCACCGUAACUUCGGGAGAAGGUGCGCCGGCUAGGGUGAAGGAUUUACUCCGUAAGCUCUGGCUGGUCGAAGAUACCAGGCCGCUGCGACUGUUUAUUAAAAACACAGCACUCUGCAAACACGAAAGUGGACGUAUAGGGUGUGACGCCUGCCCGGUGCCGGAAGGUUAAUUGAUGGGGUUAGCGCAAGCGAAGCUCUUGAUCGAAGCCCCGGUAAACGGCGGCCGUAACUAUAACGGUCCUAAGGUAGCGAAAUUCCUUGUCGGGUAAGUUCCGACCUGCACGAAUGGCGUAACGAUGGCGGCGCUGUCUCCACCCGAGACUCAGUGAAAUUGAAAUCGCUGUGAAGAUGCAGUGUAUCCGCGGCUAGACGGAAAGACCCCGUGAACCUUUACUGUAGCUUUGCACUGGACUUUGAGCCUGCUUGUGUAGGAUAGGUGGGAGGCUUUGAAGCGUGGACGCCAGUUCGCGUGGAGCCAUCCUUGAAAUACCACCCUGGCAUGCUUGAGGUUCUAACUCUGGUCCGUGAUCCGGAUCGAGGACAGUGUAUGGUGGGCAGUUUGACUGGGGCGGUCUCCUCCUAAAGAGUAACGGAGGAGUACGAAGGUGCGCUCAGACCGGUCGGAAAUCGGUCGCAGAGUAUAAAGGCAAAAGCGCGCUUGACUGCGAGACAGACACGUCGAGCAGGUACGAAAGUAGGUCUUAGUGAUCCGGUGGUUCUGUAUGGAAGGGCCAUCGCUCAACGGAUAAAAGGUACUCCGGGGAUAACAGGCUGAUACCGCCCAAGAGUUCAUAUCGACGGCGGUGUUUGGCACCUCGAUGUCGGCUCAUCACAUCCUGGGGCUGAAGCCGGUCCCAAGGGUAUGGCUGUUCGCCAUUUAAAGUGGUACGCGAGCUGGGUUUAGAACGUCGUGAGACAGUUCGGUCCCUAUCUGCCGUGGACGUUUGAGAUUUGAGAGGGGCUGCUCCUAGUACGAGAGGACCGGAGUGGACGAACCUCUGGUGUUCCGGUUGUCACGCCAGUGGCAUUGCCGGGUAGCUAUGUUCGGAAAAGAUAACCGCUGAAAGCAUCUAAGCGGGAAACUUGCCUCAAGAUGAGAUCUCACUGGGAACUUGAUUCCCCUGAAGGGCCGUCGAAGACUACGACGUUGAUAGGCUGGGUGUGUAAGCGUUGUGAGGCGUUGAGCUAACCAGUACUAAUUGCCCGUGAGGCUUGACCAUAUAACACCCAAACA
rnacentral:rRNA from 1 species